rnacentral:rRNA from 1 species
CGCGUAGGCGGUCUUAUCGGUCAGAUGUGAAAGCCCGGGGCUCAACCCCGGACGUGCAUUUGAAACAGUAAGACUUGAGUACGGGAGAGGAAAGCGGAAUUCCUGGUGUAGAGGUGAAAUUCGUAGAUAUCAGGAGGAACACCGAUGGCGAAGGCAGCUUUCUGGACCGAUACUGACGCUGAGGCGCGAAGGCGUGGGUAGCGAACA